GUGCACUGGCAACACAGUGCGCAUCCCCGCAUAACACGGUGCUUGCUCGAUCACUCGCCCCCCAUGGUAAGCACGGGGAGUUGGCUCAGGUCUCCAACCUGACUCUGCCAAUCUCCCCGUGUGACCCCCCCAAAAACAUUUUUGGGGGCUGUCUCUCACACUUGCCUCGUGGUUGGUAUAGCGCCUCAUAAUAACGCCGCUCUGCUUUUGCUGCCUCAAUCUCCUCCCUCGGGCGGCAAUACUCCCCAGCCUGACUCCCAGGUCCUUUCCCGUCCAGAAUGUCUUCCCAGGUCCAUUCCUGAUCAUGCUGCUUGGUCCUUUGGUGGUUAUCUGGAGUCAUUCCACAGUGCCCUGCUGAAAAAUACCCCAAAGUGGAGGCAUUUUGGGUACACAAGCUUGAGGGAGCGGACACGCCUUGCGGUUUUGGAGCGCAACAAGAUUGUGGGAUAGAAACCAGGGGGCACCAAGGGACACUGAAACAUAAAAUCAAUCAAGACUACAACAGUAAUGACAAAACCACCACAGUAUUCUCUCUGCAGAUUCUCAAAACACAAUACAAAGACAUGUCUACAAAAUUCCCCUGCAAAGGGCUACUAAUGACAAGAAUGAUCAAGGUCAAUGGGCUGGGGGAGGGUUACAGACAGUACUUUGAGAUGAGGAAGGGGUUUUGGUUGUUC
rnacentral:lncRNA from 1 species